UGCAACAAGAGACAGAGAGACAGGGAGGAAGGGUGGGGGAGGGAGUGGGUGUAAGAAGACAAAAAUAACAAAAGCAUGUGUCUGUCCCUCCUUGGUAUUUUCCACCCUGUUACAUAAAAUCCCUACAUCCCUCCUUCCUUUCUUCCCAAUCCCUUCCUCCCUCGGCUCCUCCCUCCUCUCUGUCA